rnacentral:misc_RNA from 1 species
AAGUCGUAACAAGGUUUCCGUAGGUGAACCUGCGGAAGGAUCAUUACCAUUCUAUUACUGAAGUCCUGCACUUUCGAGAGAACGGCAGGCGACUACCGAUGAGCAAGCGUAGCGCGGUUCCGCGUUGCGUGAGGGAGUCGGGCAUGCUGAUACGAGUGCCCGUCUCUAGCGCCGUUCCCCCAUCAUCGAUGAUCAUCAUUGUUGUUGGUGGUGGGGAGCUCUGAGGACGGACACGGUGCUACUUUCACCGGACCCUGUGCUUGAAAAGGAACCAUAAUGCAGUACAACUGCAAACGGUGGAUCACUCGGCUC